rnacentral:snRNA from 1 species
AUGCUCACUUUGGCAGCACAGAUACUAAAAUUGGAAUGAUACAAAGAAGGUUACCGUAGUCUCUGCACAAAGAUGACAGGCAAAUUCUUGAAGCAUUCCAUGUUUUG